GACGAACGCUGGCGGCGUGCCUAAUACAUGCAAGUAGAACGCUGAAGGAGGAGCUUGCUUCUCUGGAUGAGUUGCGAACGGGUGAGUAACGCGUAGGUAACCUGCCUGGUAGCGGGGGAUAACUAUUGGAAACGAUAGCUAAUACCGCAUAAUAGUAGAUGUUGCAUGACAUUUGCUUAAAAGGUGCAAUUGCAUCACUACCAGAUGGACCUGCGUUGUAUUAGCUAGUUGGUGGGGUAACGGCUCACCAAGGCGACGAUACAUAGCCGACCUGAGAGGGUGAUCGGCCACACUGGGACGGAGACACGGCCCAGACUCCUACGGGAGGCAGCAGUAGGGAAUCUUCGGAAAUGGACGGAAGGCUGACCGAGCAACGCCGCGUGAGUGAAGAAGGUUGUCGGAUCGUAAAGCUCUGUUGUAAGAGAAGAACGAGUGUGAGAGUGGAAAGUUCACAAUGUGACGGUAGCUUACCAGAAAGGGACGGCUAACUACGUG
rnacentral:rRNA from 1 species